AUCAACGCUGGCGGCGUGCCUCAGACAUGCAAGUCGAACGCGAAAUUUCCCUUCGGGGAGAAAGUAGAGUGGCGCACGGGUGAGUAACACGUAGGUAAUUUGCCUUUGGGUGGGGAAUAACUCAGGGAAACUUGAGCUAAUACCGCAUAAUGCAGCGGCUCGACAUCGAGACAGUUGUUAAAGCGGGGGAGUCGCAAGACCUCGCGCCUAAAGAGAAGCCUGCGGCAGAUUAGCUAGUUGGUAGGGUAAUGGCCUACCAAGGCAACGAUCUGUAACCGGCCUGAGAGGGCGGUCGGUCACACUGACACUGACAUACGGGUCAGACUCCUACGGGAGGCAGCAGUCGGGAAUUUUGGG
rnacentral:rRNA from 1 species